UGACUUUACUUAGUGUACAGUCUCAUGGU
rnacentral:piRNA from 1 species